AUCUGUUUGUAGUUCAUAAGCGUGAUGAUUGGGUGUUCAUUCGCAUGUGUCAGAUGUGCCUCAAACCUUGUUAUGGCAUGGGCACGUUACCCAUCUGAUG